rnacentral:rRNA from 1 species
UAAUACGAAGGGGGCUAGCGUUGUUCGGAAUUACUGGGCGUAAAGGGCGCGUAGGCGGCUCUGUGCGUCGUGCGUGAAAGGCCUGGGCUCAACCCCGGGAACGGCGCUCGAUACGACGGAGCUAGAGUGCAGGAGAGGAUGGUGGAAUUCCCCAGUGUAGAGGUGAAAUUCGUAGAUAUUGGGAAGAACACCGGUGGCGAAGGCGGCCAUCUGGACUGCAACUGACGCUGAGGCGCGAAAGCGUGGGGAGCAAACAGGAUUAGAUACCCUGGUAGUCCACGCUGUAAACGAUGUGCGCUAGACGUUGGCGGACCUAGUUCGCCGGUGUCGCAGCUAACGCAUUAAGCGCACCGCCUGGGGAGUACGGCCGCAAGGUUAAAGCUCAAAGGAAUUGACGGGGGCCUGCACAAGCGGUGGAGCAUGUGGUUUAAUUCGAUGCAACGCGCAGAACCUUACCAGCCCUUGACAUGGCGAGUAUGGACCGCAGAGACGUGGUCCUUCA